AGGAUGAACGCUGGCGGUCUGCUUAACACAUGCAAGUCGAACGGAGUAGCAAUACUUAGUGGCGGACGGGUGAGUAACGCGUGAGAAUCUACCUUCAGGACGGAGACAACAGUUGGAAACGACUGCUAACCCCCGAUGUACCGAAAGGGCAAAUAUUUAUAGCCUGAAGAAGAGCUCGCGUCCGAUUAGCUAGUUGGAGAGGUAAAAGCUCACCAAGGCGACGAUCGGUAGCUGGUCUGAGAGGACGAUCAGCCACACUGGGACUGAGACACGGCCCAGACUCCUACGGGAGGCAGCAGUGGGGAAUUUCCGCAAUGGGCGAAAGCCUGACGGAGCAAGACCGCGUGAGGGAGGAAGGCUCUUGGGUUGUAAACCUCUUUUCUUGGGGAAGACAAAAUGACGGUACCCAAGGAUCAGCAUCGGCUAACUCCGUGCCAGCAGCCGC
rnacentral:rRNA from 1 species